rnacentral:rRNA from 1 species
UACGGGGGGGGGCAAGCGUUGUUCGGAAUUACUGGGCGUAAAGGCUCGUAGGCGGCCAACUAAGUCAUACGUGAAAUCCCUCGGCUUAACCGGGGAACUGCGUCUGAUACUGGAUGGCUUGAGUUCGGGAGAGGGAUGCGGAAUUCCAGGUGUAGCGGUGAAAUGCGUAGAUAUCUGGAGGAACACCGGUGGCGAAGGCGGCAUCCUGGACCGAUACUGACGCUGAGGAGCGAAAGCCAGGGGAGCAAACGGG